GACGAACCGUGCGAACGUUAUUCGGAAUCACUGGGCUUAAAGCGCGUGUAGGCGGGCCGGCACGUCGGCCGCUGAAAUCCCCCGGCUCAACCGGGGAAGCGGCGCCGAUACGACCGGCCUGGAGGGGAGUAGGGGGGCCUGGAACUUCCGGUGGAGCGGUGAAAUGCGUUGAGAUCGGAAGGAACGCCCGUGGCGAAGGCGAGGCCCUGGACUCCUGCUGACGCUGAGACGCGAAAGCCAGGGGAGCGAACGGG
rnacentral:rRNA from 1 species